rnacentral:rRNA from 1 species
UACGGAGGGUGCGAGCGUUGUCCGGAAUCACUGGGCGUAAAGGGCGCGUAGGUGGCGCGGGCAGUCAACGGUGAAAGUUCGGGGCUCAACCCUGAAUCGGCCGUCGAUACUCCCGGGCUUGAGCACUGUAGAGGCAGAUGGAAUUCCGGGUGUAGCGGUGGAAUGCGUAGAGAUCCGGAAGAACACCGGUGGCGAAGGCGGGUCUCUGGGCCGAUACUGACGCUGAGGAGCGAAAGCGUGGGGAGCGAACAGG